AGACACCUCACUUUCUCUUCUGAAUUAUUUGACACUGAAUAUAGGAUCUCAUGCACGCUAGCAAGUACUCUGUAUGUAUCUAGACACGCAUGCACACAUACACGCACACACACACUUUUUUUAAAAUUUUUAACAUGGAAUAUCACUCACUUGCCUCAGCUGGAUUCGAGUUUGGGGUCCUUCUGCCUUACUCUCCUCCUGAAUAUAUGGCAUUACAGGCCUGAGCUGCCAGGUCCACCCCAACUUUGUCUUAAUAAAUUCCAGCUUUGAUUCAUUCGGAAGGUCUCUGUGUGUCUUAACAGCCAGGGUAAUCCUGAAUGAGUUCCCAGGAGAGCAUCUCCAGGCUGCCAAUGAGGACUGGCCACAUUCCUGAGAACUGACUUUCUGCAAAGCCUCCCAGAGGGCCCAAAUUUAGAACACAUGAAGUAAGAAAAGAUGCCUUCUCUGUUGUGCCUGAAAACAUAAGGAACACUAUACACAUUUCUGGAAAGAACAGAAAACAGUUUUCUGUCAGAGUGAAAGCUCCAGGUGAAGAGACUGGAGCACGUGGAAGUUUGCAAGAGCAGAGGCCUUCAUCCUAUGUCUGUGGAUUCAAGAGGUUAUGUAGAAUCUGGGUGUUUUCUGUCUAAGUUCCUCUUCCCAUCUUACCACCUGCACAGUAGAAGGAGAAAGGGAUGGGGCAGAGCAAAUAUAAGACUUCAGAACAUUGGGAGUUCAGAGUAUAUACUUUAGGACAUGUCUAUAGAGCAGGCUAUCACAAU
rnacentral:lncRNA from 1 species